rnacentral:rRNA from 1 species
CCUACGGAGGGCAGCAGUGGGGAAUAUUGGACAAUGGGCGAAAGCCUGAUCCAGCCAUGCCGCGUGUGUGAAGAAGGCCUUCGGGUUGUAAAGCACUUUCAGUGGGGAAGAAAGCCUUGGGGCUAAUACCCUCGAGGAAGGACAUCACCCACAGAAGAAGCACCGGCUAACUCCGUGCCAGCAGCCGCGGUAAUACGGAGGGUGCGAGCGUUAAUCGGAAUUACUGGGCGCAAAGCGCGCGUAGGCGGUCUGAUAAGCCGGUUGUGAAAGCCCCGGGCUCAACCUGGGAACGGCAUCCGGAACUGUCAGGCUAGAGUGCAGGAGAGGAAGGUAGAAUUCCCGGUGUAGCGGUGAAAUGCGUAGAGAUCGGGAGGAAUACCAGUGGCGAAGGCGGCCUUCUGGACUGACACUGACGCUGAGGUGCGAAAGCGUGGGUAGCAAACAGGAUUAGAUACCCGGGUAGUC